AAGACCUAGAAAUAAAAAGAAACCAACAAACAAAACAAAAGAAAAGAAGAAAGGGAAAACCUCCCCCUCUCUCUUUUCUAGCCGAAGGCCUGCCCAACCCCCCGGCCCAGCUCCUCUCCCCACUCGCGGCCCGCCAGUGCACUUUCCCUCCCUUGCUCUCUUCGUCACGGCCCAGCUUCACACUUCCUUCCCCCUCGGCCCAAGCUGGCCAGCAGCCGGCCCGGUGCGCCAUCCCUUUUCCCUUUCUUCUUUCACUAGCAAGCCGCCCCCUCUUCUGUC
rnacentral:lncRNA from 1 species